rnacentral:rRNA from 1 species
GUGGGGAAUAUUGGACAAUGGGCGAAAGCCUGAUCCAGCCAUGCCGCGUGAGUGAUGAAGGCCUUAGGGUUGUAAAGCUCUUUCAGUAGGGAAGAUAAUGACGGUACCUACAGAAGAAGCCCCGGCUAACUUCGUGCCAGCAGCCGCGGUAAUACGAAGGGGGCUAGCGUUGUUCGGAUUUACUGGGCGUAAAGCGCACGUAGGCGGAUUGGUCAGUUAGAGGUGAAAUCCUGGAGCUCAACUCCAGAACUGCCUUUAAUACUGCCAGUCUAGAGUCCAGAAGAGGUGAGUGGAACUCCUAGUGUAGAGGUGGAAUUCGUAUAUAUUAGGAAGAACACCAGUGGCGAAGGCGGCUCACUGGUCUGGUACUGACGCUGAGGUGCGAAAGCGUGGGGAGCAAACAGGAUUAGAAACCCGUGUAGUCC